rnacentral:rRNA from 1 species
GGAGUUUAGCGCUGAUGAAGCUUCGGCAGAAUCUUGUUAAACUUAGUGGCGGACGGGUGAGUAACGCGUGGGUAACCUGCCUCAUACAGGGGGAUAGCAGUUGGAAACGACUGAUAACACCGCAUAAGCGCACAGUGUCGCAUGACACAGUGUGAAAAUAUUUAUAGGUAUGAGAUGGACCCGCGUCUGAUUAGCUAGUUGGUGAGGUAACGGCCCACCAAGGCGACGAUCAGUAGCCGGCCUGAGAGGGCGGACGGCCACAUUGGGACUGAGACACGGCCCAAACUCCUACGGGAGGCAGCAGUGGGGGAUAUUGCACAAUGGGCGAAAGCCUGAUGCAGCGACGCCGCGUGAGUGAAGAAGUAUUUCGGUAUGUAAAGCUCUAUCAGCAGGGAAGAAAGACCUCGUAAGAGGGGAUGACGGUACCUGAGUAAGAAGCCCCGGCUAACUACGUGCCAGCAGCCGCGGUAAUACGUAGGGGGCAAGCGUUAUCCGGAUUUACUGGGUGUAAAGGGAGCGUAGACGGUGUAUCAAGUCUGAAGUGAAACCCCACGGCUCAACCGUGGGCUUGCUUUGGAAACUGGUAGACUAGAGUACUGGAGAGGUAAGCGGAAUUCCUGGUGUAGUAGUGAAAUGCGUAGAUAUCAGGAAGAACAUCAGUGGCGAAGGCGGCUUACUGGACAGCAACUGACGUUGAGGCUCGAAGGCGUGGGGAGCAAACAGGAUUAGAUACCCUGGUAGU